CUUGUAACCGCCGCCACAAUUGCCUGAAUAAUCUAAUACAAAUGUGCACAGUAUACAAGUAUUCCAAUUUAAACAACUGUCUUCUAUUAUUAUUAACUAUAAGCAGCUAUGUUUCAAUAUAAGACAGUCGCAUGCGAGUGCAGAGUCAGGUGCCAUGUUUCUUCGAUCCAAUGGCUAGAAGCCUUUAGUAUCGUAUCUCAUUUCAUAACAUUACAAUGUUUAUAGGCACUGCAAAUUCUUAAGAAAUGAAACCGAUGCACAAACGACAGUUUACGCUUUGGACACGUGCGUGUUUGGUCAUUUGAGUGUCAUGUUCCACAACAUUCGUGCUAGAUGUGAUUAAAAAUUCCAGAUGACACUCCACGGUGAACAGUGCAAGGUGAAUCAUACGGUAUCGUGACCUGUAAAAUCCAAGAGCAUAAAAGUGGGCGGCUUCGCAGUCGCUGUGUGAGACAUGCCGAUUGAUAUAUUACUCAAAGUAGCCAACCUUCAGGAUACCACUGACUCUAUCUCCCAUUCUCCUAUUUCAGGUCGGCGGCCGAACCUCCUUCGAGGUCCCCGGCGUAUGAGGGACUUGACGAUUUCCAGAUGUUGGGAUGAAACCGCGGGCCCAAGGAGUUUUAGGGCCCUACCGCACCAAACGACUGCCCUGCACUCUUACACCCGAUGACUUACUAAUACUAGCCCUAACAGGAGCAGUGCUUCACUGUAUCUACUACCGGAAUUGCGCCCCACUGAGAAGAUUCGGCGAGAAAUCCAAUGGUUUGAGUUUACGGGCUACUUUGCACAUUAGCAUCGUGCUCGUGUUCAAUCGUAAUCAAAAAACGUACAUCACUGUCCGACCCUAAGCGACUUUCAAGCUUAAAGAACAACAACAUCAUCAUCACCAUCAUCAGCCCACAGUCGUCCACUGCUAGACAUAGGCCUCGCGCAAUCCAUAGAACUUGAUAUUAGUAUGAUAAGGUGUAUUGUAAAGCUACAUGGGUAAGCAUUAUAACCUUGCUUAUAUCUGCCGCGAAACAAUCACAAUUUUCAUUUUAUUUUGAAUUAAUUUUGUCAUAAAAGGGUCGCAUUCCUGUUGUGAUGUCUAUGGACCCUAUAAACCAAUGAACACCAACCAGGUGAACCGUAAACUCAUAAAUUCAUCUAUGCAAUAAAAUAAAGGAAAAACUCUUGUACGAUAUGAAAUGUAAUUUUCGCAAUAACAUGACUUAAAUUAAACCAGAUGUUAAACAUCUGGAUCACUUGACUUGAUUCUGUUCUACUGAUUGUAGCCUCAGUAUCGUAAACACGAAGGUGCAAAACGCUAUAAAUCGCUUCCGGUUUUGUUAGAUGGACAAUGAAAUUAAUAAAUAAAUGAAUUAUUGUUUUAUUUGUCUCACUGUAGGUUUUUAGCUGGAAAACUUGUAUCCUCCUCGAUUCUGUCUAAAUAAAUUCAGAGCUUGUUGUCAAAA